UACGAAGGGUGCAAGCGUUACUCGGAAUUACUGGGCGUAAAGCGUGCGUAGGUGGUCUGUCAAGUCCGAUGUGAAAGCCCUGGGCUCAACCUGGGAACUGCAUUGGAAACUGGCAGUCUGGAGUGCGGUAGAGGGUAGCGGAAUUCCCGGUGUAGCAGUGAAAUGCGUAGAUAUCGGGAGGAACAUCCGUGGCGAAGGCGGCUACCUGGACCAGCACUGACACUGAGGCACGAAAGCGUGGGGAGCAAACAGG
rnacentral:rRNA from 1 species